UACGUAGGGGGCAAGCGUUGUCCGGAUUUAUUGGGCGUAAAGAGCGUGUAGGCGGUCUGGUAGGUCCGUUGUGAAAACUCGAGGCUCAACCUCGAGACGCCGAUGGAAACCAUCAGACUAGAGUCCGGAAGAGGAGAGUGGAAUUCCUGGUGUAGCGGUGAAAUGCGCAGAUAUCAGGAAGAACACCCGUGGCUAAGGCGGCUCUCUAGUACGGUACUGACGCUGAGACGCGAAAGCGUGGGGGAGCGAACGG
rnacentral:rRNA from 1 species